rnacentral:rRNA from 1 species
AUACGUAGGGGGCGAGCGUUGUCCGGAAUGAUUGGGCGUAAAGGGCGCGUAGGCGGCCUGUUAAGUCUGGAGUGAAAGUCCUGUUUUCAAGAUGGGAAUUGCUUUGGAUACUGAUGGGCUUGAGUGCAGGAGAGGUUAUCGGAAUUCCUAGUGUAGCGGUGAAAUGCGUAGUGAUUAGGAGGAACACCAGUGGCGAAGGCGACUUACUGGACUGUAACUGACGCUGAGGCGCGAAAGUGUGGGGAGCAAACAGGAUUAGAUACCCUGGUAGUCCACACUGUAAACGAUGAAUGCGAGGUGUAGGGGGUGGCGACCCCUUCUGUGCCGCAGUCAACACAAUAAGCAUUCCGCCUGGGGAGUACGGCCGCAAGGUUGAAACUCAAAUGAAUUGGCGGGG